GCAGAACGCGAAGAACCUUACCAGGACUUGACAUGGAGGGGACCGGACGAGAGAUCGUUCUUCUUCCGCAAGGAAGCCCCUCACACAGGUGCUGCAUGGCUGUCGUCAGCUCGCGUCGUGAGAUGUUGGGUUAAGUCCCGCAACGAGCGCAACCCUCGUUUUUAGUUGCCAUCAUUCAGUUGGGCACUCUAAAGAGACUGCCGCGAAUAACGCGGAGGAAGGUGGGGACGACGUCAAGUCAUCAUGGCCCUUACGUCCUGGGCUACACACGUGCUACAAUGGGCGUCACAGAGGGUCGCAAGAGCGCAAGCUGGAGCCAAUCCCCAAAAACGUCCUCAGUUCAGAUCGAGGUCUGCAACCCGACCUCGUGAAGGUGGAAUCGCUAGUAAUCGCGGAUCAGAACGCCGCGGUGAAUACGUUCCCGGGUCUUGUACACACCG
rnacentral:rRNA from 1 species